CACAGUGAUGAUGUGCUCAUAGAAACUCACUGACCGGAUUCCUGAAAGAGAGAAAAGUAAAAGGCAGUGAGGCGGGAGAGAAUAUUUGCUCGACUGUCUGCUAGCCUGAAUUUCUCCAACACUGAGUUUUCAAUGUCCACCCCGCUCCCCUCCACCCGCCCCACAAAGUAUCAGACAGUGUUUUCCCAGUGGCAAGUUAGCUCAUGCAAAAGCAGAGAGAAUCCUGAUGCCAUCCUGCCUAUCCACACACUAACAGAAACCAUUCAAGAAGCCUUGGAAAAGUGUCAGAUUCCCAAUGAUGCUCAAGAUGCUUUUGGCUGAAGACCAUAAGUGCUCAGAACUUCCUUGCUUCCUCUCAACUCACUCCGGAAUCGGCUUUCCUAACUCUAAGCUUUUCUCCAUCAUAUGUUUCCAACCUACACUGCAACUCAAGGGUCACCCUCUGUCAUGUAGGCUGGAGUGCAGUGGCACGAUCACAGCUUGAUGCAGCCUGGUUCUCCUGGGCUCAAGCAAUCCUCCUGCCUCAACCUUCUGAGUAUCUGGGACAACAGGAAAAUGGUUUCAUUGGAGUCUUUAGAGCUGUGAUGUCAAGACAUGAAGAACAACUGCACACACAGACAUGGCUAUCACAGAACAGACUGUGGGUGAAUAAAAAGUUCACAUCACUUCUUCCCUUUACCCAGUAACAGAAGGCUCUAGGCCACCUCCUCAUAGGCCCACUCCUCAAACUCUCUCUCCUCCUUGGCUGUGGUAUGCUGUACUCGGACACAUUCAUGCUGCUCACAGCCUCAGUGAACUCCAUCUCAUCCAUGCCACUUCCCAUGUACUGGUGCAGGAAGGCUUUGUGCCAGAAUAUGGCUGUGAACUGUUCCAAGAUGCACCUGAACAGCUCCUAGAUGGCUGUGCUGUUGCCAGUGACAGUGGCAGCCAUCUUUAGCCCCCCGGGUAGGAUGUUACAAACAGCUGUUUUCACCUUGUGGGGGAUUCAAUGAACAAAGCAGCUGCUGUCCUUGUUUUGGAGAUUAAGCAUUUACUUAUCCACCUCCU